rnacentral:misc_RNA from 1 species
AACGCAUAUUGCGCCCUCUGGUAUUCCGGGGGGCAUGCCUGUCCGAGCGUCAUUACUACCUUCAAGCACGGCUUGUGUGUUGAGCAUUUUGUUCCAUUUUCAGUGAACAAGGCUUGAAAUGCAGUGGCGAUGCCUUAAAUUGGUUGCCUGAACGUAUAGGGCUAUGUCACACGUUCUUGUGGCUCCAGUUGUGCAUCUUGUUCUAACUUCUAAAAAAUCUCGAAUUGACCUCGGAUCAGGUAGGAAUACCCGCUGAACUUAA